CUAGCUCGGUUUGAAUCCUUUGCCAUUCUGAGUUUAAUUUUUGCCAUCCACCCAUGUGUUAGGAUUGGAAUAAAUGUAGUUAAACUGUAUGUGGUGGAGAAAGGUUUUCCCGUGGAUUGAAUUUGGCCUUAGGGUUGAAUUCAGAAUCCGUAGGCCAGCCCUUUACGUAAGGCCAAAGGCAGGGGAUUAGUGGGAAUGUGCUCUGUUAAAACUGUGCGAUUUUCAGCGACACCCCUGAAAUCCCCAUUGACUUUGCAGUCCCUGUGUUUUAAUAAAUUACUAUGUGUCUGCAGGUUCCUCUUCAGGUCUGCAUGAAGUCACACAUGCUGUAGAAUGAGUUCGUGAUCUCUCUCCUACUCCUCUCUUCUCCCCACCCCUGUAUGAUUUGGUGACUUGUUUCAGGGCACGCAGGGAGUGUGCUGCAGAGCUCGGAAGCUAACGCAGGAGUUCUGACGCUUAAUUUUGCCCUUUAAUCCAGUAGAUUCUACUCCCAGCUCUGGGAGAGCAAAGCCCUAAGACCCAUUCCUUCUGUCGUAGGCAAACCAUCAUAAACAGCACUACUAGUGGUUGGGUACUUCAUAACCUGUGAGUGAUCCCAGACUGCAACUUUUACCUGAUCUGUAGCACCAUCUCCUUGCACUUAUCAUGAUAAAGAGAGCCAACAAUUUUUAUGCAGGUCAGAAAGAUACCCAAGAGCCCAGUAUCUAUGAAGCCUCAAAGGAUUUCAGACUGAAAAUGGAAUUGAUGAGCUGGGAGGAAACGGUUGCUUUGAGAAAUGCCACGUUCCAGAUAUGGGGCUCAGUGAGCUGAUUGUGAAGAGGCUGGAGGAUGAAGACUGACUCCCCACCCCCAUGAAAUGAUCGGGGCUAAAGUGGAAAAAUGAAGUACUGUAACUGAAUCUUGAAAAUGGUCUGUAAUGAAACAUCCUGGACCUGAGCCCCAAGGACAGUAGGGUGCAAGAACUCUGAAGACAAGAUUGGCUGGUUUCGCUUCUUCCUCACCCUGGAUCCCUUAUAGGAAUCACAGAUGGAUGAUUUGAGAUGAGCCUUAAAGGAAAGGAAAAUGUAUCUUUCUCUCCACCAGCAUCAACUGUAAGAGAGAAUUUGGGGCCUGAAGAUUAAAAGAUUUGCCCUGUCUCCGAUCUGCAUUACAAGGACUCUGAAGUUAUGUCCAGGAAAGGCUAUACUAAAAACAGGAUAAAUAAUAAAACUAGAUUGAAUGGAUGUGUAAAAGUUGGGUGUUCUUGUACAAAAGGGCAGUGGUAGCACAGGGGGAAAUGGAGCUUUCUCAACUCUAAUGCACUGGUCUGAAUUCAGCCCAGGUCAGUAGUGGCUGUAGUUGGGAUUUUCACAGAAGAUUUAAGGGAGUUAGAUGCCGUGCUGCAUUAGGCUUCUUUGAAAAUCCCAUCUUUAAUCCAUUGCAAUUUUCAGUUGCCCUUUCUGUGAAAUGAGUUAGGGCUUGAUCUCAUGUCUGAGAUACAAUAUCUGUCCAGGUAUUUUUAAAACUCGUACAAAAUUGAGGAUCAGGAUGGUUAACCAACAUUGAUCUAUUUACCCGUAUCCAAAAUUACUUUCCACUCUUCCGUGAAUUGACUCCAUCAUGUCCACUAUCUGUUUUCUACUACCAACACCAUUUAGGUUAGGCUGAGAUUUUUCAGAUGCACUCAGGGUUUGGACACCCAGUUCCCAUUUUAAAAAAAAUAAUGGGAAUUUAACAGGCAAAUCUCAUAGAUUUGAAAAUCUUAACCUAAAUGUAUUUAAACCAUGUCUCCCCGACCCUACAGGUGCACACUCCUCUGACACCAGCUCAGACCUUUAUUUCAUGCUUGGAAUGUUGGCAUCCUCUAUCAUCCUGUUUUCUCUUCACCCCAAAUAAACAGAUGUAGAUCCUUUCCCUAUUGAGCUGGGGGCCACCACUGCAGUCCUGCUACAUCUUGCAGCUGUUGUGCUGAACAGCUGGGAGGCAGCGAGAGAGAUGGAGCUGAGAGGCAAUGCUAUGUGAAACAAAUUCAGCAACAUGUGGUUUUGAGUUUAGAUAGCCAGGGGAGUUACACUUAAGUCAGGACAAAUUUUCAGUGGCAUGAGCAGAGAUGCCAAGCUGGACCCUCAAAACCAGGGCCAUCCCAGAAAACAUGGGCCAUUUGGUCAUCAAGAGUUUGAACUAGCUUUUGGGGGUUCAGCUGAACACAAGAAACAAGCAUUUCCCCAAAAUCAUGUACUUAAAAUUAAACCAGCAUGAAUCUUAAAAA